rnacentral:tRNA from 1 species
GCCCGAGUGGUGAAAUUGGUAGACACAGGGGACUUAAAAUCCCCCGACCUCAUACGUCGUACCGGUUCGACUCCGGUCUCGGGCACCA